GGCUAAACCAUGCACCGAAGCUGCGGCAGCGAACGUAUCACUUAAAGCGAUUCAGCGGGUUACGAUUGACGGAGCGAAGCGACGUCAAAGCGUAUACAAAGUCGAGUCGGUUUAAGGAUACGUUCGUUGGGUAGGGGAGCGUUCUGUAAGCCUGUGAAGGUGUGUCGUGAGGCAUGCUGGAGGUAUCAGAAGUGCGAAUGCUGACAUAAGUAACGAUAAAGCGGGUGAAAAGCCCGCUCGCCGGAAGACCAAGGGUUCCUGUCCAACGUUAAUCGGGGCAGGGUGAGUCGACCCCUAAGGCGAGGCCGAAAGGCGUAGUCGAUGGGAAACGGGUUAAUAUUCCCGUACUUGGUGUUACUGCGAAGGGGGGACGGAGAAGGCUAUGUUGGCCGGGCGACGGUUGUCCCGGUUUAAGCGUGUAGGUGUGUGUUCCAGGUAAAUCCGGUUCACUUUAACACUGAGGCGUGACGACGAGGCACUACGGUGCUGAAGCAACAAAUGCCCUGCUUCCAGGAAAAGCCUCUAAGCAUCAGGUAACAUCAAAUCGUACCCCAAACCGACACAGGUGGUCAGGUAGAGAAUACCAAGGCGCUUGAGAGAACUCGGGUGAAGGAACUAGGCAAAAUGGUGCCGUAACUUCGGGAGAAGGCACGCUGACACGUAGGUGAAGUGAUUUACUCAUGGAGCUGAAGUCAGUCGAAGAUACCAGCUGGCUGCAACUGUUUAUUAAAAACACAGCACUGUGCAAACACGAAAGUGGACGUAUACGGUGUGACGCCUGCCCGGUGCCGGAAGGUUAAUUGAUGGGGUCAGCGCAAGCGAAGCUCCUGAUCGAAGCCCCGGUAAACGGCGGCCGUAACUAUAACGGUCCUAAGGUAGCGAAAUUCCUUGUCGGGUAAGUUCCGACCUGCACGAAUGGCGUAAUGAUGGCCAGGCUGUCUCCACCCGAGACUCAGUGAAAUUGAACUCGCUGUGAAGAUGCAGUGUACCCGCGGCAAGACGGAAAGACCCCGUGAACCUUUACUAUAGCUUGACACUGAACAUUGAGCCUUGAUGUGUAGGAUAGGUGGGAGGCUUUGAAGCGUGGACGCCAGUCUGCGUGGAGCCGACCUUGAAAUACCACCCUUUAAUGUUUGAUGUUCUAACGUGGACCCGUGAUCCGGGUUGCGGACAGUGUCUGGUGGGUAGUUUGACUGGGGCGGUCUCCUCCUAAAGAGUAACGGAGGAGCACGAAGGUUGGCUAAUCCUGGUCGGACAUCAGGAGGUUAGUGCAAUGGCAUAAGCCAGCUUGACUGCGAGCGUGACGGCGCGAGCAGGUGCGAAAGCAGGUCAUAGUGAUCCGGUGGUUCUGAAUGGAAGGGCCAUCGCUCAACGGAUAAAAGGUACUCCGGGGAUAACAGGCUGAUACCGCCCAAGAGUUCAUAUCGACGGCGGUGUUUGGCACCUCGAUGUCGGCUCAUCACAUCCUGGGGCUGAAGUAGGUCCCAAGGGUAUGGCUGUUCGCCAUUUAAAGUGGUACGCGAGCUGGGUUUAGAACGUCGUGAGACAGUUCGGUCCCUAUCUGCCGUGGGCGCUGGAGAACUGAGGGGGGCUGCUCCUAGUACGAGAGGACCGGAGUGGACGCAUCACUGGUGUUCGGGUUGUCAUGCCAAUGGCACUGCCCGGUAGCUAAAUGCGGAAGAGAUAAGUGCUGAAAGCAUCUAAGCACGAAACUUGCCCCGAG
rnacentral:rRNA from 1 species